rnacentral:lncRNA from 1 species
GAAAGUCUAGGAAGGCAAGCGGGUUGGGAGGAUGUGUAUUAUUUCUGAACGUAUGUUAACGCAUAAUUAUGUUCUUUGUCAAAUUAAGUGAUGUGUAGCUGUAUACAUUUAUCAUAUGGCAUAAUCAUGUAGAUUUUACAUGUUGGCAAUAAUUAGAAUGUGAAUUUAAGGGUUCAUGUGCAGUUACUAUUUCACAAUUUAUAUUCAUUUGUGUUUUAUAGAUUUUCUAUAUAGAUAAUGUAAACCUAGGUAGGCCUAUAAAGUGGAAUGUUUUUUCGAGAUAUUUGCAUGGAAUAGAGCCGAUUUACAAGAAGUCAUUGCAUCCGAUGUGCAGAAUGGCGAUGGAAUAGAGAGGUUAGUAUGUUCAUAGAUUGAUGGUUAAAUUCGAAUAAUUGUAUUCCCAUGAUGUACACAUCAGAUGGAAAUUAUAUAGAUACAAUCAUUACCAAUUGUGUUGUUAUGAUUUGUAGAUCUUGCCCAUCAGAUAUGGGAAGCCUCAUCCAUUGGAGGCUGAUGAGGUACAAUGGGAAAGGGUAAGAGUUUCCAAAUUGAAGGAGGUUGCCAUCCUAAGAAUUUGUCAUCGCAAAGAAAAUGAUAAUGGAUCUUGUAAGAGGCGAUGAAUAUUUGAUGAAUAUGAUGUAAGAAAUGAUUUAUGCACCGACAGUGGUACUUAAUACCGCUCAGAGAUGCAAUAUUAUUGUAAGCCCCCAAGACAGUUUGUUUCCUUUAAGGAAGGAGAAGCAAUUUCAAAGCAAAGUUGAGCACAUAUGAUAAUUUUUGCACCUUACACAUUUGUUUAUGUCGUGCCCAUGUUGCAAAGAAAUAAGUUACAUUUUAUAAUGAUUAGGCAAUUGGUAAUUUAUAUUAUAUAUAUAUAUAUAAGACAUUAAUUUAGUUUUAUGCGAAUAACUUUGUUGGUGUAGAGUUGCAAAAAAUGCAAUGGAUAAUUUGGCGGAUGGAAAAGUUGCUGAAAAUGAGAGAAGCAGGUGUGAAAGCAAUGUCCGGCUUCGUGUAGUAAACCCAUCAAGCGAAGUUGUUCCUCUUUCAUUUGAAUGCAUGCAAAGUGUAUUCAUGUCCCCUCCCCAAUUAAGAUGUCUAGUUACAUGGUUAUGUAAUUUGUUGAACUAAAUUGUUUAUGUUUACACAUAAGGUUGAUUUUUUUUCCAUCAGUUUAAUUCAAAUUGUAAUUUGUCAUUUCGGCAAUGUUCCUUUUGAUGGGAGAAAACAUAUAAAGUUUUAGACGCAUGAUUCAUAAAUACAACUAGUUUUUAGUGUAUAGUAAGAUAUAUUGUGUAAUGAAGGAGAAGCAAGUAGAUGUCUUAUUUUUAAUUUGCCGAAUUGUCAUUUCAAUUCAUAAUACUGAUGUAGUAUCAUUGUUUCAUUAUAUUAAUACUCCAG